GGAAAUGUCAUUUUUUUCAUGCUGGGUAGGAGGUGGACUCAUUCUUGGCAGGUCAAUUAAGUUGUCCCAGAGAACUCCUGUGGCCAUUCCCUGUCACCAUAUCUUUCCUGGUUCUUCUAGUCACUGUGUUAUUUGAAAUGGAAUAAAGGAUGGGAAGAUCCCUGAGGUUACCGAGGUGAUAAAAAGAAAAAAAAAGAAGCAGAAGUAAAACUUGGCCUAUUUCUUUUCCUGCCAUUCUUCAGCAAGGGCGGAACCCAGAGGUUCACAUUCCCUUCCUCAUGGAACUCCCUUGUCCUCUAAAUUCUUGGCUUUGUUAUGCCUUUCUAAUAAACCUG